rnacentral:tRNA from 1 species
GGUGCUUUGGCAGAGGUGGUCUAUGCACCGGACUGAAAAUCCGGCUAAUGAGGUUCAAUUCCUCAAGGCACCA